GCGUGUGGUCUAGUGGUAUGAUUCUCGCUUUGGGUGCGAGAGGCCCUGGGUUCAAUUCCCAGCUCGCC
rnacentral:tRNA from 1 species